CAGCCGCCACGGUAAUACGGAGGGUGCAAGCGUUAAUCGGAAUUACUGGGCGCAAAGCGUGCGUAGGCGGUUUGUUAAGUCUGCUGUGAAAUCCCCGGGCUCAACCUGGGAAUGGCAAUGGAUACUGGCAAGCUAGAGUGUGUCAGAGGAUGGUGGAAUUCCCGGUGUAGCGGUGAAAUGCGUAGAGAUCGGGAGGAACAUCAGUGGCGAAGGCGGCCAUCUGGGACAACACUGACGCUGAGGCACGAAAGCGUGGGGAGCAAACAGGAUUAGAUACCCGAGUAGUCCCUGUCUCUUAUAC
rnacentral:rRNA from 1 species